GCCUUCGUGAUGUAGUGAUCAGCACACUCGGCGCGUAUUCGAGAGGCCCGUGGUUCGAAUCUCGGUGAGGGCA
rnacentral:tRNA from 1 species